CGCGGGGUGGAGCAGUUCGGUAGCUCGCUGGGCUCAUAACCCAGAGGUCGCAGGUUCAAAUCCUGCCCCCGCUAC
rnacentral:tRNA from 12 species